rnacentral:rRNA from 1 species
GAUGAACGCUGGCGGCGUGCCUAAUACAUGCAAGUCGAGCGAACGGACGAGAAGCUUGCUUCUCUGAUGUUAGCGGCGGACGGGUGAGUAACACGUGGAUAACCUACCUAUAAGACUGGGAUAACUUCGGGAAACCGGAGCUAAUACCGGAUAAUAUUUUGAACCGCAUGGUUCAAAAGUGAAAGACGGUCUUGCUGUCACUUAAAGAUGGAUCCGCGCUGCAUUAGCUAGUUGGUAAGGUAACGGCUUACCAAGGCAACGAUGCAUAGCCGACCUGAGAGGGUGAUCGGCCACACUGGAACUGAGACACGGUCCAGACUCCUACGGGAGGCAGCAGUAGGGAAUCUUCCGCAAUGGGCGAAAGCCUGACGGAGCAACGCCGCGUGAGUGAUGAAGGUCUUCGGAUCGUAAAACUCUGUUAUUAGGGAAGAACAUAUGUGUAAGUAACUGUGCACAUCUUGACGGUACCUAAUCAGAAAGCCACGGCUAACUACGUG